rnacentral:misc_RNA from 1 species
GAUGAAGAACGCAGCGAAAUGCGAUAAGUAAUGUGAAUUGCAGAAUUCAGUGAAUCAUCGAAUCUUUGAACGCACCUUGCGCCCUUUGGCUAUUCCAGAGGGCAUGCCUGUUUGAGUAUCAUGAACACCUCAACUCUCAUAGUUCUGCCAUGAUGAGCUUGGACUUUGGAGGUCUUGCUGGCCCCUGUGGUCAGCUCCUCUCAAAUGGAUCAGCUUGCCAGUGUUUGGUGGCAUCACAGGUGUGAUAACUAUCUACGCUUGUGGUUUUCCACCAGGUAACCUUCAGUGAUGGAGGUUCGCUGGAGCUCAUAAACGUCUCUCCUCAGCGAGGACAGCUUCUUGAAUGUUUGAUCUCAAAUCAGGUAGGGCUACCCGCUGAACUUAAGCAUAUCAAUAAGCGGAGGA